CAGUGGGGAGCGUGUGGCCGAGGACGUGAUGGGGUCCUAUCCGUUACUAUAUGGAUAUAGGCACUUUGGCUUUUGUGUGCUGUGAUUCUGCAGCUAUAAAGCCCAUACAGAGAAGGGUUCAAAUCCUAAAUUCGAGCUUGACGAAUGUUUACACACUGAGUCCUCCAGAUGCCCCUGAAGUCACCUCCAAGUCAUUGCCCAUUGAGGACAACCAUGGUCUUGGCCUCCAACACGAGGGAUGAGCUCAGUGCGCUCUUGAGGGGCCCGUGCAUGGAAUCGCACGUGGCAACCGUGUUGUGUGUGUGGUGUCUUCAUGCUCCGUAUCUUGGAAAUGCAUCCACGGUGUGCAGUGACGUGAUGGGCUCUUCUCUGCCGUGCGCCCCUCCAUCCCGUGUGCCCCUCCACCCUGUGAGCACCACGGUGUGCUCAUCUGCCCUCCCGCCUAGGGGCUCCUGGGCUUCCCGGGGGUGGCGACAAUGAAUGAGGCUGUUUGGAA